GACGAACGCUGGCGGCGUGCUUAACACAUGCAAGUCGAGCGGAAAGGCCCUUCGGGGUACACGAGCGGCGAACGGGUGAGUAACACGUGGGUGACCUGCCCCCCACUCUGGGAUAAGCCUGGGAAACCGGGUCUAAUACCGGAUAUGGCCUCCGCAUGCAUGUGCGGUGGUGGAGAGUUCUGGCGGUGGGGGAUGGGCACGGGGUCUCUCAGCGUGUUGGUGGGGUGAUGGCCUACCAAGGCGACGGCGGAUGGCCGUCGUGGGGAGGUGAGCGGACACGGUGGGAGGGAACCACGGGACAGACACACGGGGGAGGCUGCAGCGGGGAGUCGUGCGCAAUGGGCGGAAGCCUGGCGCAGCAGCGCGGCGUAGGGGAGGACCGCCUUCGGGGUGGAAACCUCUUUCGCGAUCGGCGAAGCUCGUACUUCUAGUACGGGUGACGGUAGUUGGAGAAGAAGCACCGGCCAACUACGUG
rnacentral:rRNA from 1 species